rnacentral:rRNA from 1 species
GGUUGAUCCUGCCGGACCCCACUGCUAUCGGGAUAGGACUAAGACAUGCUAGUCGUGCGUCUUCUAGCCAUGCUGAAGACGCGGCACACAGCUCAGUAACACGUGGCUAACCUACCCUUGGGACGGGAACAUCCCCGGGAAACUGGGGCCAAUUUCCGAUAGGUGAAGAAUCCUGGAAUGGAUCUUUGCCCAAAGGGCACUUGGGGCAUGCUUCUAAGUGUUGCCCAAGGAUGGGGCCGCGGCCGAUCAGGUUGUUGGUGAGGUAAUGGCUCACCAAGCCUUUAACCGGUACGGGCCGUGGGAGCGGGAGCCCGGAGAUGGGCACUGAGACAAGGGCCCAGGCCCUACGGGGCGCAGCAGUCGCGAAAACUUCGCAAUAAGCGAAAGCUUGACGGGGCUAUCCCGAGUGCCAUCUGCUGAGGAUGGCUUUUACCUAGUAUAGAUAGCUGGGGGAAUAAGGAGAGGGCAAGUCUGGUGUCAGCCGCCGCGGUAAUACCAGCUCUCCGAGUUGUGGGGAUGUUUAUUGGGCCUGAAGCAUCCGUAGCCGGCUGGGCAAGUCCCCUGUUAAAUCCAGCGACGAAUCGUUGGUCUGCGGGGGAUACUGUUCGGCUAGGGGGCGGGAGAGGCCGUCGGUAUUCUUGGGGUAGGGGUGAAAUCCUAUAAUCCCAGGAGGACCACCAGUGGCGAAGGCUGUCGGCUAGAACGCGCCCGACGGUGAGGGAUGAAAGCUGGGGGAGCGAACCGGAUUAGAUACCCGGGUAGUCCCAGCUGUAAACGAUGCAGGCUAGGUGUUAGGGCGGCUACGUGCCGCUCUAGUGCCGCAGGGAAGCUGUUAAGCCUGCCGCCUGGGGAGUACGGCCGCAAGGCUGAAACUUAAAGGAAUUGGCGGGGGAGCACCACAAGGGGUGAAGCUUGCGGUUUAAUUGGAUUCAACGCCGGG